rnacentral:rRNA from 1 species
UCGGACUGUAGUCUGCAACCCGACUACACGAAGCUGGAAUCGCUAGUAAUCGCGAAUCAGAAUGUCGCGGUGAAUACGUUCCCGGGUCUUGUACACACCGCCCGUCACACCAUGGGAGUCGGGAAUGCCCGAAGUCAGUGACCCAACCUAUAGGAGGGAGCUGCCGAAGGCAGGUCUGAUAACUGGGGUGAAGUCGUAACAAGGUAUC